UGGUGGAGCUCAGUGGUAGAGCACUUACCUAACAUGCAUGAGGCCUGGGGUUCAAUUCCCAGCACCA
rnacentral:tRNA from 1 species